GGCCAGACUCCUACGGGAGGCAGCAGUGGGGGAUAUUGCACAAUGGGGGGAACCCUGAUGCAGCGACGCCGCGUGGGUGAAGGAGUAUUUCGGUAUGUAAAGCCCUAUCGGCAGGGAAGGAGCAAGACGGUACCUGACUAAGAAGCCCCGGCUAACUACGUGCCAGCAGCCGCGGUAAUACGUAGGGGGCGAGCGUUAUCCGGAUUCACUGGGUGUAAAGGGAGCGUAGACGGCCAUGCAAGCCAGGGGUGAAAGCCCGGGGCCCAACCCCGGGACUGCCCUUGGAACUGCAUGGCUGGAGUGCGGGAGGGGCAGGCGGAAUUCCUGGUGUAGCGGUGAAAUGCGUAGAUAUCAGGAGGAACACCAGUGGCGAAGGCGGCUUGCUGGACGAUGACUGACGUUGAGGCUCGAAAGCGUGGGGAGCAAACAGGAUUAGAUACCCGAGUAA
rnacentral:rRNA from 1 species